ACAAGUAAAACAACAAAAUUUGUUGAAAGUAAAAGCUAAACCGAAACUUUUAAUACCCUACCCUACGCUAAGCUUCUUGGAAAGAAGAGUCAAGAAUUUUACUCUCAUACAAGAUUUACAUAAAAGUGAAUCUUUUAAGUUUAUAGAGUGUAAGCAAAGUGACAUCAGAGCAAUUUUUGGGCUUUACUUGAAAACAAUUAUCUGUUGUGAUUCAUCUCCAAAGUUAACUUAAUGUUCUCAUUUCUAAUUCACUUUGUGCGUCAUCCUCAAAAUUUUUAGUUUUGCUUAAAUGAAAAUCAAAUUGAAAUGGCACAUGAUUGAAUAAACCUUUCAAGGUUAUAUUUUAUCUCAUUUCAAUUUACAUUUUAUGUGAAAAAGCUUUCAAACACACAUUUUUUCAAUUUUUUUAUACAUAUAAUGAAAAUAUGCAACAACAAAAAAAUAAUAAUAAUAAUAAUGAAUUUUAUAAUAUAAAGAAAUAUCAAUCAAAGAUUUGUAUUAGCCCAUCUGCAGUUAGAGUAUGUGAAGGAAAGGUCUGCACUGGCUUGUUUAUUUGAAAUAUGUAUGGUCAAAAUGCCAGAGAGAGAAACACAGAGGAAUGGAGGGAGGAAUAUAGAAAGAGGGAGAGGAAGGUGGACAGGGAAGAUAGUCGAGAGAAAUACAUCGAAUAUUCGAACGCUGCGGGGCAUAUGGCAUGCGUGCAUAUGUGUGAUAAAAGAAGAAGAAGAAGAAGAAGAGGACAAAGCAAGCGAAUGAAAGUCUGGUGACGGAAUCGAAAAUGGAAUUGAAAUGCGUGCAGAUGACAAGCCUGCAGGCAGACUAAAAGAACAAGAGAGACAGAGACAAAGUCGGAGAGUGAGAGAGACGGUGCUGAAGAGCCAGGCGAGCAGCAAGCAUGUCAAGUGACGCCCUCACCAUUAGCGAGCGGUAAAUUGCCGCAGUCUGAUUAAAAACGCAUCAAAUACGACUAAACGACGAUGAGACUGUGAGAGGGGGAGAGCGGAAGAGCCGGCGGGUUGGCAAGAAAUGAGAGUAGGAAAACACAACCUAUGCUAAAUGCUCGUAAAAGUAAUUUUUGUUGCCCCACACACACACACACACACACACUCUCACUCUUAUACACCCUGUGCAAGGGAAGGAAAGACAAAUAAUGGACCAGACAUUGCGGGACAGGGUGCGCAAGAGGAAAAGGGACAACCCCCUUUUUUUGGCCACGCACACAGCAUCCGCCAAAAAAAAACAGCAAGAAUUGCUAAUGCUUUGUGCGUGUAUUGGUGUAAACACACACGCACAAACGCACACGGUGAAAAAUCAGUGCGGGUGCGUCGCUGUCGCUGCCGCAGUCGCAGCUGGCGUCGGCGUCUUUUUGGCUGAGUGCCGUCAUCAAAACACACACACACACACUUUCACGCAAACAUUAAGUGUGUGUUUGUGUGCGUGAGUGAGUGACGAGAAAGGGGGCGGGGCUAGGGCUGUUGGCUUCCAAAAAGGACUGCUGUGACAGCUCCCAAAGCAUUGCUGAUUGCAAAAAUCUGUUAAAUGAAAACAGGUCGAGCUUUUCUUUUUUUAUACACCAAUUGCUGAUGGACAAGAACUAAGCACACGCAGACAUACAUGCUUUGCAUCAGCAGCAGCAGACAGUAAGAACAACAACAAGCAGAAGAAGAAGAAGAAGUCAGCUUGUUGUGGCCCCUUUCAUCUCGCAUCUCGCUCAUCGCUCGUCGCUUCCGUGUUUCGAAAUUCAAUUUAUGUAUACUUUAUGAGGUUGCCCCGCAUUUUGGGGCGCGUUGCCAGACGCGUACCAUGCCGCAUUUUGAACGUUGACAGCGCCGCUGGCGUUGGCAUCGCCGGCUGCCGCUGCGGCCGUUGGGGCUGAUGCUGCUGCUUAUGGCAGCUCCAUGGAGUCAGUGAGGCAUGGAAAAUUGCAAGUUCAGGAAAAUCGAUUUUCGUUUUGUAGAUUUGGCUAGGCAAAUGCUGUGUCUGUCUUUAUCUUCCUUAUAUAUCUUACUUAUUAGGCUAAUUAGCGUGCAGAAACAAACACAUACACUCACACAGUUGCAGUUAAAGUAAAAAUAAACUUACCUCUGCUGGCACGCUGCACACAGUA